UAAUACGUAGGGGGCGAGCGUUGUCCGGAAUUACUGGGCGUAAAGGGUGCGUAGGCGGUUUAAUAAGUUAGAUGUGAAAUCCCCGGGCUUAACUUGGGAGUUGCAUUUAAAACUGUUAAACUAGAGUGCAGGAGAGGAAAGCGGAAUUCCUAGUGUAGCGGUGAAAUGCGUAGAUAUUAGGAGGAACACCAGUGGCGAAGGCGGCUUUCUGGACUGUAACUGACGCUGAGGCACGAAAGCGUGGGGAGCGAACAGG
rnacentral:rRNA from 1 species